UCUUACCGGGACCGACAGCGAUAUGAAGGCCAGGCUGAAGACUUUGCCGGAUUAGCUGAGAGGUGGUGCAUGGCCGUCGUCAGUUCGUACUGUGAAGCAUCCUGUUAAGUCAGGCAACGAGCGAGACCCACGCCCACAGUUGCCAGCGUACUCUCCGGAGUGACGGGUACACUGUGGGGACCGCCGCUGCUAAAGCGGAGGAAGGAAUGGGCAACGGUAGGUCAGUAUGCCCCGAAUAUCCCGGGCUACACGCGAGCUACAAUGGUUGGUACAAUGGGUAUCUACCCGAAAGGGGAUGGAAAUCUCCUAAAGCCAAUCUUAGUCCGGAUUGAGGGCUGCAACUCGCCCUCAUGAAGCUGGAAUCCGUAGUAAUCGCGUUUCAACAGAACGCGGUGAAUACGUCCCUGCUCCUU
rnacentral:rRNA from 1 species